AACGCAUAUUGCGCCCUUUGGUAUUCCGAAGGGCAUGCCUGUUCGAGCGUCAUUAUCAACCAUCAAGCUUGGGCUUGUCGUUGGACCUCUUUUGCAGCUGAAAUAUGCUGCAGGUCCGAAAGAUAAUGACGGUGUCGUGAUCGACCCUAAAUGCAACGAGCUUUUUAUAGCACGCAUUGAAGUGGUCGGCCGACCCAGUCUUUAACCAUUUUCUUAAGGUUGACCUCGGAUCAGGUAGGAAUACCCGCUGAACUUAA
rnacentral:misc_RNA from 1 species